GGUUCGAUUCUGGCUCAGAUUGAACGCACUGGCGGGAUGCUUUGUACAGGUGGAGCAGCACGGACCUGAUCGUGGCGAGUGGCGAACGGUGGAAAUAAUGUAUCGGAACGUGCCUAGUAGCGGGGGGAUAACUACGCGAAAGCGUAGCUAAUACCGCAUACGCCCUUCGGAAGGCGGGGACCUUCGGGCCUCGCACUAUUAAAGCGGCCGAUAUCGGAUUAGCCGUUGGUGGGUAACGGCUCACAAGGCGACGAUCAGCUGGUUUGAGAGGACGACCAGCCACUGGGACUGAGACACGGCAGACUCCUGCAGGAGGCAGCAGUGGGGAAUUUUGGACAAUGAAACCUGAUCCAACCAUCGCGUGCUUGAUAGAAGGCCUUCGGGUUGUAAAGCACUUUUGGCAGGAAAAGAAACGGCACGGGAUAAUACCCCAUUGCAACGCUGACAGUACCUGCAGAAUAAGCACGGCUAACUACGUGGCAGCAGCGCGGUAAUACGUAAGUGCAAGCGUUAAUCAGGAAUUACUGGGCGUAAAGCGUGCGCAGGCGGUUCGGAAGAAAGAUGUGAAAUCCCAGAGCUUAACUUUGGAACUGCGCAUUUUUAACUACAAGCUAAAUUAUGGUGGAAUUCCCGUGUAGCAGUGAAAUGCGUAGAUAUGCGGAGGAACACCGGCAGCGAGGCAGCCUCCUGGGAUAACACUGACAGCGCUCAUGCACGAAAGCGUGGAGGCGAGCAGGAUUAGAUACCCUGGUAGUCCACGCCUAAACGAUGUCAACUACUUUCGUUUGGGGCAUGGAGCCUUGGUAGCGCAACUAACGCGUGAAGUUGACCGCCUGGGAAGUACGGUCGCAAGAUUAAAACUCAAAGGAAUUGACGGGGACCCGCACAAGCGGUGGAUGAUGUGGAUUAAUUAGUGCAACGCGAAAGACCUUACCUACCUUGACAUGUGCGGAAUCCCGAAGAGAUUUGGGAGUGCUCCUUAGGAAACCGGAACGCACAAAGGUGCUGCAUGAAACAAUGAUCAGAAAAAGCUGGCAAUGGUGUAGAGAUGUUGGGUUAAGUCCCGCAACGAGCGCAACUGUACUUGUCAUUAGUUGCUACGAAAGGGCACUCUAAUGAGACUGCCGGUGACAAACCGGAGGAAGGUGGGGAUGACGUCAGGUCUCAUGGCCCUUAUGGGUGAGGGCUUCACACGUCAUACAAUGGUCGGGACAGGGUCGCCAACCCGCGAGGGUAAUCCCAGAAACUGAUCGUAGUCCGGGAUCGCAGUCUGCAACUCGACUGCGUGAAGUCGGAAUCAACUAGUAAUCGCGGAUCAGCAUGACCAUGAGGUGAAUGCGUUCGGGUCUUGCACACCGCCCGUCACACCAUGGGAGUGGGUUUUAGUAGUUAGCUAACCGUAAGGAGGGCGAUUACCACGGUAGGAUUCAUGACUGGGGUGAAGUCGUAACCGAGGUAG
rnacentral:rRNA from 1 species